rnacentral:lncRNA from 1 species
GUUUCUCUAAUCACAAGACCAGCACUACCUACCCCUACUACCACCACCCACUUGCUUCCAUCGCUACCAUACAAACCCCAAUCAAGAUUCAAACAAACCCAGAUCCAAAUCUGAACUCCGUCACUCAGUUCACCACGAACCACCACCCAAAUCCAAACUACCGUUGUUCUCUAUCUACUCCAUAUCUCUAUCAUCUGUAUUCUCUCUCUACCAUUUCUCCUAUAAUUCUCUGUGCCCUGAUUCUCUACCUAAUAUGUAAAGCUCCUUAUGUUCCCUAUAAUCAGAAGAAACCCGUUUUGUGGCACCAGAGGAUUUGUUUCCCAUUCUAAAUUAGCCCUAAUUGCAGGUCUACAUCAACUAAAUUUGAUGAUUCUCAAAUGACGAUGGGGUGAGAGGAUGGUGGCCAGUUGUGUUCUCCAAUAGAAAUAUUUAGAGAGAGGAGAUUAGAGGAUGGUGGUCAGUGACUUUAUACCCUAGAUCCCUUCUUCUUGAUGACCUGCAACUGCCACGGGAGAGGACGACUAACUAGGUGUUUGAUGCAACCAGAUCCACCCCCAAUAAGAUGGCGAUGAUCAACUUCAAAAGGAGAUUUGGAGGUGACGAUCAAGAUGCAGGAAACCGUGAUAGUGUUUUUAGGGUUUGGUUUGGGACGAUGAUGUUUUUAGGAAUUAGGAUAUGUUUAAUUUGGUAGGUAUGCUUCCUAUGGUUUGUCAUUUUGUUACUCGGAUAUAG